AUUGAACGCUGGCGGCAUGCUUUACACAUGCAAGUCGAACGGUAACAGGCCGCAAGGUGCUGACGAGUGGCGAACGGGUGAGUAAUGCAUCGGAACGUGCCCAGUCGUGGGGGAUAACGCAGCGAAAGCUGCGCUAAUACCGCAUACGAUCUAUGGAUGAAAGCGGGGGACCGAAAGGCCUCGCGCGAUUGGAGCGGCCGAUGUCAGAUUAGGUAGUUGGUGGGGUAAAGGCUCACCAAGCCAACGAUCUGUAGCUGGUCUGAGAGGACGACCAGCCACACUGGGACUGAGACACGGCCCAGACUCCUACGGGAGGCAGCAGUGGGGAAUUUUGGACAAUGGGCGCAAGCCUGAUCCAGCAAUGCCGCGUGCAGGAAGAAGGCCUUCGGGUUGUAAACUGCUUUUGUACGGAACGAAACGGUCCGGGCUAAUACCCUGGGCUAAUGACGGUACCGUAAGAAUAAGCACCGGCUAACUACGUGCCAGCCGCCGCCGUAAGAC
rnacentral:rRNA from 1 species